GACGAACGCUGGCGGCGUGCCUAAUACAUGCCAGUUGAGCGCUGAAGGUUGUUACUUGUACCAACUGGAUGAGCAGCGAACGGGUGAGUAACGCGUGGGGAAUCUGCCUUUGAGCGGGGACAACAUUUGGAAACGAAUGCUAAUACCGCAUAAAAACUUUAAACACAAGUUUUAAGUUUGAAAGAUGCAAUUGCAUCACUCACAGAUGAUCCCGCGUUGUAUUAGCUAGUUGGUGAGGUAAAGGCUCACCAAGGCGAUGAUACAUAGCCGACCUGAGAGGGUGAUCGGCCACAUUGGGACUGAGACACGGCCCAAACGACUACGGGAGGCAGCAGUAGGGAAUCUUCGGCAAUGGACGAAAGUCUGACCGAGCAACGCCGCGUGAGGGAAGAAGGGUGUCGGAUCGUAAAACUCUGUUGGUAGAGAAGAACGUUGGUGAGAGUGGAAAGCUCAUCAAGUGACGGUAACUACCCAGAAAGGGACGGCUAACUACGUG
rnacentral:rRNA from 1 species